rnacentral:rRNA from 1 species
ACACAUGCAGUCGAGCGGAUGAAGGAGCUUGCUCCUGGAUUCAGCGGCGGACGGGUGAGUAAUGCCUAGGAAUCUGCCUGGUAGUGGGGGACAACGUUUCGGGAGGAACGCUAAUACCGCAUACGUCCUACGGGAGAAAGCAGGGGACCUUCGAGCCUUGCGCUAUCAGAUGAGCCUAGGUCGGAUUAGCUAGUUGGUGAGGUAAUGGCUCACCAAGGCGACGAUCCGUAACUGGUCUGAGAGGAUGAUCAGUCACACUGGAACUGAGACACGGUCCAGACUCCUACGGGAGGCAGCAGUGGGGAAUAUUGGGCAAUGGGCGAAAGCCUGAUCCAGCCAUGCCGCGUGUGUGAAGAAGGUCUUCGGAUUGUAAAGCACUUUAAGUUGGGAGGAAGGGUUGUAGAUUAAUACUCUGCAAUUUUGACGUUACCGACAGAAUAAGCACCGGCUAACUCUGUGCCAGCAGCCGCGGUAAUACAGAGGGUGCAAGCGUUAAUCGGAAUUACUGGGCGUAAAGCGCGCGUAGGUGGGUUGUUAAGUUGGAUGUGAAAUCCCCGGGCUCAACCUGGGAACUGCAUCCAAAACUGGCAAGCUAGAGUAUGGUAGAGGGUGGUGGAAUUUCCUGUGUAGCGGUGAAAUGCGUAGAUAUAGGAAGGAACACCAGUGGCGAA